AUUUGCGCAGUAUUUUUGUGUCUCUCGCGUGCCCUGACUUCUAUUUACUUAAUUGUAGUAACUUUAUAUUAUUUGCGUCAAUUUUAUUAUUUUGUUGAUCCAGGGCACUCUUGAAAAUGAGACUACUAUCCUCACUUGAUUAAAGAAAAACUUUAACCAAGUUACUCAUCAUCAUAUCACUCAAUCAUUUACCCACUAACCCAACCAUCUCACUCACCCUUUCACUCACCCAUUCAUUCACCCACACAUUCACACACUCAGUCAUUCACUAAGAAUCACAAUCAGAUGUGCUGACGCUGGAGAAAUCCCAUGAGCUAUUAAGCUCUUUUUCACAGAUGUCUACUCGCUCACCAUCUCACUCAACCACUUACCCACACACCAUCACUCACUCACCCCUUCGCCCACUCACCUACUCACUCAUUUACUCAGUCUUGCAAAUAACACUAUCCUGGCUUCUUGAGUUCUCACUGUGGUUAAACAAUGCCAGGCGGUGGCGGCUGUGCACGUGGCCUGCAAUCGAGGGUUGGCGGAUCGCAACAUCGAGGUGCCGUAAACCAGGCUCGACAGGAGAAGGCAGUACAGCGGAGUGCGGACUAGUAUCAUCGCGUUCUUUCUGUACGGGAUAUGGUGUUGCUCUCCCCCCUCGGGCGCAUUCACGUGUGGGUGUAUUCAGUGUGCUCCGGUUUCCUUUCACUUCUACAAACCGCUAAUUAAUUGUCUGGAAACAUCCCCAUAUAUAAAUGACCGCAGAUCUUGGGCAAGUGUUGGUAGCGCCGGCUAAGCCGCCCUCGCUGCCGCCGUCCCAGUGUUGGCCGUGGUCCCUGCCAGGCGAUUGCCGGACACGAGGACUAUGACGCUGCAGCACGGGGGACGGGUGGAAGACAACCACGCCGGCCGUGUUUCCACCUUCAGCCCGGCCUUCACAGGUGCUCGCUGACGGCAUUUACCCCGACGGCAGCCCAUUUGAGCGGCAGCCGCCAGGACGUCCGCCACGGAGACGGAGCCGCGGGAUGGCAGGUGAGGGCUGACGAUGCAUCGCGACACGGCGAGAGAUGGAGACGGCUUGAGGAGGGAGGCGUUCGUCCAGCAGCGGAUUGAUCGUGGCUGCUGCCGCUGCCGCCGCUGCCGCUGACAAUGAUGAUGAGUGACCUGUGUAAAAUACCGUUGGGCCAAGCCGCAUCUUGCCUUUGUUUAAUUUUUCUCCUUCUCCUCAGAGGGGCCCCGACCAAGCGAGAGAGCGAAAUAGAUUCCUCGUGUGCACGUUUCGUUCCUAGCAGAGCGGCGCGCGGAUUUUGCAGCGGCAAUCAGCGCAGCAGCAGCAGCAGCAGGAGCAGUUGGGAAGCUGUCAUCUGUCCAGAUAUCCAGUUACCCGUCCGAUAGGCACAUGCGAGCAGAUGGUAGUAGGUAUUACAGGCAGCGGUGCCACUUUGACCGAUCAGAUGUUGGUAAACAGAUUUUUUUUGUCGUCUUCCUUGCAAUGGUGUUUUGUGCUGCUGUGGAUUUUCAGUAUUAACGGUGUGUGUAUAUAUACAUAGUACGUGUAUAUAUGUGUACAUGUGCGUUUCCUGUGGGGGUCUGUGGCGCUGUGGUUAGCGCGCUACGCUACCCGGCGACCCGAGCUUAAUUUCCGCUCACGGCC